rnacentral:lncRNA from 1 species
UGAAAAUUCGUGUAGCGACAUCUAAUUUAUCUUUUACGUGUUUUACAAGUUUUCUACUUAAUGGUUAUUUGCGGGUUUUAAACUAUUUCCUUUUCCUUAUUGAACUUCUAUUUAUCGAUUAGGGCUUUAGUUUUGACUUAAGGUCGGCUUAGACCACCUCUAUAUAAGGUUUUGUAAUCCUUCGGGAAUAGUUAGUUGUUUAUCGAAUAAUAAAGAGUUUUUCUCUUGAUUGAAGUCUUCGAAUUCUCCCUGUCUAACAAAGAAUUUUGAGCAUCAAACAGAUCCUCUUGAUCCAUAGAUCCUCGAGACUCUGUUUUGAUAUUUAUCCGCUGCAACAGAUCCCUUGGAAGCUCUUUAGAGGAAAUUUGUCCUCAAAUCUGCCAGAGAAAAAGUGAUGGAGACCACAGUGAAAUCAACGACAAAACUAGGUCUGUAAAUUUAGAAUCGAUGGGGGCAAGAAAACAAAAAUGAUAGUUGAAUCUGGUGGGUCUGGUGAAACGGGUAGAUCCGGAGCCUCUUCUUCUACUUGCAUUGGUGUCAUCGACAGAGGAAUUGCACAAACAGGGGUUGAAGAGGGAGGCGGCGGCGGUUUCUCAGCAAGCAACGCAAGGCCGAUUACCUGGAAGCUUCUCGAUUCCCAUCGUGAGGCUGGUCAUCGGAUGGGACAGGACGGUCAUUGGUAAGGACCAGCACCGUUUAAGAGAAAACCAAACUUACCUCGAGUGUCGUGCCUGUGGCCAAACUAAUUUCUCUAUACGGGUAGUGUAAUUCUAGCAUUAACAUUCUAUCUACAUAUUGUCCUUAUGACAUUUUUUGAACUUUCUGUGUUUUGGUUGAACAUUUGUGGAAGUUCAGAGAUAACAAAAUUAGAAUUCAUUAACUUGAUGCACAGUGUUGGAUUCUUCGGCGUAUUCAUGGAUUUUCUAUGAGCGUAAUGAGAAUUCAUUGAAUUGUUGUCAAAGAUGUAGGCUGAAAAGCAAGUUUAUAUUUUGAGGUAGAGCUUCAAG